rnacentral:tRNA from 1 species
UCCCUGGUGGUCCAGUGGUUAAGACUCUGCACUCCCAAUGCAGGGGGCAGAGGUCUGAUCCUGGUCGGGGAA